GACGAACGCUGGCGGCGUGCUUAACACAUGCAAGUCGAACGGAAAGGCCCUGCUUUUGUGGGGUGCUCGAGUGGCGAACGGGUGAGUAACACGUGAGUAACCUGCCCUUGACUUUGGGAUAACUUCAGGAAACUGGGGCUAAUACCGGAUAGGAGCUCCUGCUGCAUGGUGGGGGUUGGAAAGUUUCGGCGGUAGGGGAUGGACUCGCGGCUUAUCAGCUUGUUGGUGAGGUAGUGGCUUACCAAGGCUUUGACGGGUAGCCGGCCUGAGAGGGUGACCGGGCACAUUGGGACUGAGAUACGGCCCAGACUCCUACGGGAGGCAGCAGUGGAGAAUAUUGCACAAUGGGCGGAAGCCUGAUGCAGCAACGCCGCGUGCGGGAUGACGGCCUUCGGGUUGUAAACCGCUUUCGCCUGUGACGAAGCGUGAGUGACGGUAAUGGGUAAAGAAGCACCGGCUAACUACGUG
rnacentral:rRNA from 1 species